rnacentral:rRNA from 1 species
GUGGGGAAUCUUGCGCAAUGGGCGAAAGCCUGUCGCAGCCAUGCCGCGUGAAUGAUGAAGGUCUUAGGAUUGUAAAAUUCUUUCACCGGGGACGAUAAUGACGGUACCCGGAGAAGAAGCCCCGGCUAACUUCGUGCCAGCAGCCGCGGUAAUACGAAGGGGGCUAGCGUUGCUCGGAAUUACUGGGCGUAAAGGGCGCGUAGGCGGACAGUUUAGUCAGAGGUGAAAGCCCAGGGCUCAACCUUGGAAUUGCCUUUGAUACUGGCUGUCUUGAGUACGGGAGAGGUGAGUGGAACUCCGAGUGUAGAGGUGAAAUUCGUAGAUAUUCGGAAGAACACCAGUGGCGAAGGCGACUCACUGGCCCGUUACUGACGCUGAGGCGCGAAAGCGUGGGGAGCAAACAGGAUUAGAUACCCUAGUAGUCC